AGUGGUGACGAUGACGACGAGGAUACACCUGUUCCCAUACCGAACACAGAAGUUAAGCUCGUGAAUGCCGAAAAUACUUGUGGGUUACCCUACUGGAAAGAUAGGUAGUCGCCAAAC
rnacentral:rRNA from 1 species